rnacentral:hammerhead_ribozyme from 1 species
AUUUAGCUGAUGAGUCCUAAUUAGGACGAAGCCCUAGUCUUAGAU